rnacentral:rRNA from 1 species
CCUACGGGGGCUGCAGUGGGGAAUAUUGGACAAUGGGCGAAAGCCUGAUCCAGCCAUGCCGCGUGUGUGAAGAAGGCCUUCCGGUUGUAAAGCACUUUCAGUGGGGAAGAAAGCCUUGGGGCUAAUACCCUCGAGGAAGGACAUCACCCACAGAAGAAGCACCGGCUAACUCCGUGCCAGCAGCCGCGGUAAUACGGAGGGUGCGAGCGUUAAUCGGAAUUACUGGGCGUAAAGCGCGCGUAGGCGGUCUGAUAAGCCGGUUGUGAAAGCCCCGGGCUCAACCUGGGAACGGCAUCCGGAACUGUCAGGCUAGAGUGCAGGAGAGGAAGGUAGAAUUCCCGGUGUAGCGGUGAAAUGCGUAGAGAUCGGGAGGAAUACCAGUGGCGAAGGCGGCCUUCUGGACUGACACUGACGCUGAGGUGCGAAAGCGUGGGUAGCAAACAGGAUUAGAUACCCCAGUAGUC